rnacentral:rRNA from 1 species
CCUACGGGCGGCAGCAGUGAGGAAUAUUGGUCAAUGGACGCGAGCCUGAACCAGCCAAGUAGCGUGAAGGAUGACUGCCCUACGGGUUGUAAACUUCUUUUAUGCAGGAAUAAAGUGAGUCACGUGUGCCUUUUUGUAUGUACUUUAUGAAUAAGGAUCGGCUAAUUCCGUGCCAGCAGCCGCGGUAAUACGGAGGGUCCGUGCGUUAUCCGGAUUUAUUGGGUUUAAAGGGAGCGUAGGUGGGUUAUUAAGUGAGUUGGGAAAGUGUGCGGCUCAACCGUGAAACUGCAAUUGAUACUGGGGGUCUUGAGUACAGCUGAGGUAGGCGGAAUUCGUGGUGUAGCGGUGAAAUGCUUAGAUAUCACGAAGAACUCCGAUUGCGAAGGCAGCUUAC